AUUUAAAACACCAAAGUUUCUGAACGCAGAUUGCUUCAAGUUGCAGAGCAGGAGUUUUACCCAUGUUGUAAGGCUGGAGUGGAAGAUGUAAAGCUGUUGCCAUGUGGCUUUUUGCAAAAGCCACACUGCUUGUUGGGCACCCAAACAUGUUUGCUUUCACUAGCAGGGGUAUGCUCCAAGCCUUCCCUUUUAACAGUUGAAAUGUUAUCUGGAAUGAACAACGGGGGUUCAUCAAGUGAAAGACUUUUGCUACUUCUUCUCUGGCGAGGUUGAAGAUUCUUAUCAGUUCUUUUUGGUUUGUUUUUUUCUUUAUCAUCCUCCUUCACAUGUUCUACCA
rnacentral:lncRNA from 1 species